AACGAACGCUGGCGGCAGGCUUAACACAUGCAAGUCGAACGCCCCGCAAGGGGAGUGGCAGACGGGUGAGUAACGCGUGGGAACAUACCCUUUCCUGCGGAAUAGCUCCGGGAAACUGGAAUUAAUACCGCAUACGCCCUACGGGGGAAAGAUUUAUCGGGGAAGGAUUGGCCCGCGUUGGAUUAGCUCGUUGGUGGGGUAAAGGCCUACCAAGGCGACGAUCCAUAGCUGGUCUGAGAGGAUGAGCAGCCACAUUGGGACUGAGACACGGCCCAAACUCCUACGGGAGGCAGCAGUGGGGAAUAUUGGACAAUGGGCGCAAGCCUGAUCCAGCCAUGCCGCGUGAGUGAUGAAGGCCUUAGGGUUGUAAAGCUCUUUCACCGAUGAAGAUAAUGACGGUAGUCGGAGAAGAAGCCCCGGCUAACUUCGUG
rnacentral:rRNA from 1 species